GGCGCUAUAGUGUAGUGGUUAUCACUCGGGAUUUUGAUCAGUCUUAUCACCCGACCUCCCGUAACCCAGGUUCGAACCCUGGUAGUGCCU